rnacentral:rRNA from 1 species
UUAAAUUGAAGAGUUUGAUCAUGGCUCAGAUUGAACGCUGGCGGCAGGCCUAACACAUGCAAGUCGAACGGUAACAGGAAACAGCUUGCUGUUUCGCUGACGAGUGGCGGACGGGUGAGUAAUGUCUGGGAAACUGCCUGAUGGAGGGGGAUAACUACUGGAAACGGUAGCUAAUACCGCAUAACGUCGCAAGACCAAAGAGGGGGACCUUCGGGCCUCUUGCCAUCGGAUGUGCCCAGAUGGGAUUAGCUAGUAGGUGGGGUAACGGCUCACCUAGGCGACGAUCCCU